rnacentral:rRNA from 1 species
CCUACGGGGGGCAGCAGUGAGGAAUAUUGGUCAAUGGGCGCUAGCCUGAACCAGCCAAGUAGCGUGAAGGAUGACUGCACUAUGGGUUGUAAACUUCUUUUAUAUGGGAAUAAAGUGCAGUAUGUAUACUGCUUUGCAUGUACCUUAUGAAUAAGGAUCGGCUAACUCCGUGCCAGCAGCCGCGGUAAUACGGAGGAUCCGAGAGUUAUCCGGAUUUAUUGGGUGUAAAGGGAGCGUAGGCGGGUGUUGAAGUCAGUUGUGAAAGUUUGGGGCUCAACCGUGAAACUGCUGUGGAUACUGGGAGGCUUGAGUACUGGAGGGGCAGGCGGAAUUCGUGGUGUAGCGGUGAAAUGCGUAGAUAUUAGGAAGAACUCCGGUGGCGAAGGCAGCCUGCUGGACAGUAACUGACGCUGAGGCUCGAAAGCGUGGGUAGCAAACAGGAUUAGAUACCCGUGUAGUC